rfam:Pongo abelii chromosome 17, whole genome shotgun sequence.
AAAACUAUGUUUUCAGAGAUCAUUUGUAUAGUUUGUUACUGGAGAAGUUUCUCUGAAUGUGUAUGGUAUCGGAAACCACGAGAAACAGACGUAGUUUUUUUUUUUUCUGAACGUGAAGUUUGCUUUUGGUGUUGUUUCAGUAUGGCUGCUGUCAGCUGUUCAUGACCGUUUUUCUUUUCUGUUUGGAGAGUAAGAAGGAGAAAACGCAGUCUGAGUGGU